AGACUCGCCUGAUCGUGGUGGGCAACAAGCACGAUCUGGUCGAGAAGCUGUCGGCCGAAGACACGUCGGGGAUUUCGACCGAGCACCUCAAAAGCGUGGCCGGUGGCCUGGGUGUGCCCUGGUACCUCACCAGUGCCAAGACCGGAGAGGCAGUGGAAGAGAUCUUUCGACACCUGGGCCAGAUGCUGGUGAGCUAGGCGCCAGGCAAGAGACAUGGUCACACCGCUGCUCCAGGCCAUUCUGCACGAUCGCAAGCUGGCCUAUGCCCUCACCGACCGAGCCCUGUGCGUGGUGGAGGUAGGCGGCGAGCUAACCAUCCUACAGCCCGCGCACGAUACCUGGCCCGGCCGGACGCUCCUCGACCUGGUGCCAGAGCUGGUGGGUAGUGAGGACGCCCUCGCCGCCAUACUGACCGGGUCCAUGCCCAGUUUCGAGCUGCCCUUUCUCAACCGCGAAUCGACCUGCGGCGAGCCAAGCUACAUUACCAUCGUCGAGCUGCCAUACCUCGGCGCCGAUGGGCAAAUCUCCGGAUUGCUGCACCUGGUUCAAGACAAGACCGAGGCUGGCACGCUCAGGCAGCAGUUGAGCCAGCAACAUAACCAGGUGCGCCUGGCGCAGGCUGAGCUGGACAGCCGUAACCACCAGGUCGCCGCGGCCAAUGCCGAGCUGCAGCGCUUGAAUGACAUCAAAUCGACAUUUGUGUCGGUGGCCGCCCACGAGCUGCGCACGCCGCUGACUGCCAUUCAGGGGUACGCGGAAAUGCUGCUGGAAGAAGAGGCCGGCACCCUGACCGGGAUCCAGCGCGAGUACCUGCACAUUGUGCAUCAGGCUGCGGACCGCUUGUGGCACAUUACUGAGAGCCUGCUCACUGUGACCCGCAUCGAGGCGGGCCAGAUGGACCUGGUUUUGUUACCUACCGACCUGUUCGCGCUCAUCCAGUCGGUCGUAACCGAGCUUGAGCCUCAACUGAAAGCCAAAGGCCAGCAUUGGGUCAUUACUCAAGCCCCUGACCUCCCCCUGGCCUUGUGUGAUCGGCUGCGAGUCGAACAGAUUAUUGCCAACCUGCUGAGCAACGCCAUCAAGUACACACC
rnacentral:rRNA from 1 species